GUCAGGGUGCUGCCUCCCCAUCCGCUGGGAGCCGUUUUGUGUUUCACAUGCUCCCAGGCUCUCCCCCAGUUUAAGGACUUCAGCGUCUUUCAGGGCCUGUGGUUAAGCGGCUCCGAAAACACUGUUGCUGGUGGAGCGGCUCGGGGUCUUGACUUAGCCACCCAAAAGAACUUGAGAGCACGUCCAAAGUAAAGCUAAGACCUCUAGUACAGUGUUCAAUGGAACUGGUGAGAGAAGACGUGCUUGCUGUGUUCCUGAUAUGAAGAGGAAAGCAGUCCUUUUCCGCAUGUUCCAGGCCCUGCGGGGGGCAGUCACGAGUGAAAAUUGCACUUGACCGAAGGUCCAGAGACCAUUUACACACCGCACAAUUCCUGAGGACUCGCCCAACGCCUCUGACUUCCAGAUUUUUCCUAAAACUCCAAACUCUCAGGGUAUUUGCAACCUCUGCAAGGUCCACACUGCAACCUAACAACAAAUCCAUGAAGACAAAGCAGGCAGCAAGGCACCCCUUCAAGAGCAGUUGAAGUUACAAGAGGAAUCUUUUAUUUCUGUUAUGUUUUCAACAAUCACAUUUGCUGGUUCAUUAGUGAGAACUAUCAGGAAGAGGACAUUUUGGAGAGUCAUUCAAGGGCUUCAUUCAAGGGCUUCAUCAAUUUUGCAAGAAUAUUCUUUAAACUUUUAUGUAGAAAUGAGUUAUAGUAACAUAUUACUUGAGCACAGUGCAUGUCUUCUGUAUUCAGCCCAGUGAACUUUCACAUCCGGGUGCUUUCAGAUGCAGAUCUAGAACAUUGCCACCUUCCAGAGUCUUCUCACAUGAUUCUUUGCAGAUAUUAACUCCUCCCCACCCACACGUGUCCGCUGUGCUGACUUUCCUUACCUCAGGCUAGUUUCCCCUCUUCCCCAACCUCAUAUAAAUGGAAUUGUUAUCGUGAGUUCUUUUGCGUCUGGCUUUUCACCCAGCCUGUCUGUCAUCUGUGAGGCUCAUCCUGGCGACUGUUCUUUGCAACUCACUCAUUGUUAUUUCUGUGAGCUAUUUCUUGCUAUGCAUGUACUAUCAUUUAUUUAUCCAUUCCUCUCCUGAUGGAGCUUUGGGUUGUUUUAACUGACUGUUAUAAAGAUGCUAUAACCACUCUGCCAAGAACGUUUCUUAAUUCAAAUUAUUUUUUCUUUGAAAAUGUCUGCAUGGUCACCAUUCUCGUAAGUUCUCUUUUCAGUUCUUGUCUCGGCCGAAGAAUCCUCUUGCGAAUGCCUCUGUACAAGACUCUGUGUUUUCCAAAAUCACAGUUAUCUAUUUCAUAACACCAUACAUCAUUUGUGAGAUCUUUACACUUCCUCUGAAACCAAUUUGUCUUGUCCUUUUAGAUGCUGACAACAUGAGCCUCCCGUGGUGGGAACGGGCUUGUGAAGGCAGUGCUGGGAUGUACCAGGGCAGGAGCUACAGGUGAGUGGGCGGGGACAUUUGAAAGGGGCUAAUUUUCUCGUGGUCCUUUAUAGGGGGGAUGUUUGUAUGUUACGACAGCUUUCUUCCCUAUGCAACUCUGUAGCUGGGGUUGAGUGCACGUAAACUCAGCUAACAAAAUCCUCUUGCAUUUGGUUUCAAGUCUAUUGCUCUCUGCAGAAUCCCCAGGCCUGCCACUUUCCUGGCACAUCUUCUCAGCCUUUAGGCUCAGGCUGCAGUCUUUGAUUAGUGGUGCAUGUAUGUGCGACGGGGACAGUUGUCACUGAAAUUACAGACAGCUGAAUGGUGAUUUGAAUUGCAUGAGCAUUAAGGCCUUCCUUAAGAGAGAUAUGCAAAACCCACGGUUUGAUUCUCUUAAAGCAUUGGGAAGGCCUGUAUAGAUAAAUCCCCUUGACAUAAACACAGCGGGGACACUCUAAGAACCUAAUUUUAAUGAAUAUACAUUUUGACUUUCCAACUGCAAGGGAAUGAUGGGAGAAGAUUUGUUUAGAUCUUCCUAAUUAAUAGCCCAGGUUGACUGUACUUUUCUGUUUAAUGUAACUGAUUUCAUCUCAUUAAGAUACAGGUGGAAAUUGGAUGCAUUUUCCACUUCCUGGUAAGAAUAUCUUCUUCUUAUAAGCUAGGCAUAAAAACCCAUCAUGGCCUGGGCAUUGGGACUGCUGUGCUCUGGGUGGAGCCACAUUCAGAAGUCCUUGUCUGUAAUGAAAUGGGAUAUUUUUCUGUACUUAGUUCAUAAUCUUUGGGCAGCAUUUGAUCAUUUGAAAAAAGUCACACCAUUCACUUGAUCAGGAGGCAUCUGUAGGGAAUGCAGGUUGGGCCUGAGUCCUGUUGGCCCAGGAACAGGUAGUUGUGGCAUCAGACAGUUUUUGUUGUUGUUGUU